AAGUCGUAACAAGGUCUCCGUUGGUGAACCAGCGGAGGGAUCAUUAAAGAGUUAUUAUAAACUCCCAAACCCAUGUGAACAUACCUAUCGUUGCUUCGGCAGGUCGCGUCUACCCUGUAAGCUCCUACCCUGGAGCGUCUUACCCGGUAGACGCGGGUAAGCCUGCCGGUGGCCCACGAAACUCUGUUUAAUAUUGAAACUCUGAAUCUAUAACUAAAUAAGUUAAAACUUUCAACAACGGAUCUCUUGGUUCUG
rnacentral:misc_RNA from 1 species